rnacentral:rRNA from 1 species
UAGGGAAUAUUGCGCAAUGGGGGAAACCCUGACGCAGCAACGCCGCGUGAGUGAGGAAGGUCUUCGGAUUGUAAAACUCUUUUCUUAGAGAAAAAUGUCUUAGUAGCUAAUACCUAUUAGGAGUGAUGGUAUCUAAGGAAUAAGCACCGGCUAACUUCGUGCCAGCAGCCGCGGUAAUACGAAGGGUGCAAGCGUUGUUCGGAAUCAUUGGGCGUAAAGCGCGCGCAGGCGGAUUGAUAAGUCAGGUGUGAAAUCUCGGAGCUCAACUCCGAAACUGCGCCUGAAACUAUUAGUCUAGAAUGUCGGAGGGGGCAGGGGAAUUUCACGUGUAGGGGUAAAAUCCGUAGAGAUGUGAAGGAACACCGGAGGCGAAGGCGCCUGCCUGGACGACUAUUGACGC